UACGAAGGCGCCAAGCGUUAUCCGGAUUUAUUGGGCGUAAAGAGUUCAAAGGGGGUUAUGUUAGUCCAAUGUUAAAGCUCGCGACUCAAUCGCGAAAAUGCAAUGGAUACGGCAUAACUUGAGGAAAUUAGAGGCAAGUAGAACGGCCGGUGUAGGGGUGAAAUCCGUUGAUAUCGGCCGGAAUACCAAAGGCGAAGGCAUCUUGCUGGGAUUUUCCUGACCCUGAAAGAACGAAAGCGUGGGUCGCGAAUGGG
rnacentral:rRNA from 1 species